GGAGGAAUACCGAUGGCGAAGGCAGCUUCCUGGCAUCAUACUGACACUGAGGCUCGAAAGCGUGGGUAGCAAACAGGAUUAGAUACCCUGGUAGUCCACGCCGUAAACGAUGUCUACUAGUCGUUGGGGAACUUGAUUCCUUAGUGACGCAGCUAACGCAAUAAGUAGACCGCCUGGGGAGUACGGCCGCAAGGUUAAAACUCAAAUGAAUUGACGGGGGCCCGCACNAGCGGUGGAGCAUGUGGUUUANUUCGAUGCAACGCGAAGAACCUUACCUGGUCUUGACAUAUCUAGAAUCCUGCAGAGAUGCGGGAGUGCCUUCGGGAAUUAGAAUACAGGUGCUGCAUGGCUGUCGUCAGCUNGUGUCGUGAGAUGUUGGGUUAAGUCCCGCAACGAGCGCAACCCUUGUCCUUAGUUACCAGCGGGUUAAGCCGGGAACUCUAAGGAUACUGCCAGUGACAAACUGGAGGAAGGCGGGGACGACGUCAAGUCAUCAUGGCCCUUACGACCAGGGCUACACACGUGCUACAAUGGUAGGUACAGAGGGCAGCUACACAGCGAUGUGAUGCGAAUCUCAAAAAGCCUAUCGUAGUCCAGAUUGGAGUCUGCAACUCGACUCCAUGAAGUAGGAAUCGCUAGUAAUCGCGGAUCAGAAUGCCGCGGUGAAUACGUUCCCGGGCCUUGUACACACCGCCCGUCACACCAUGGGAGUUGAUUGCACCAGAAGUGGUUAGCCGA
rnacentral:rRNA from 1 species